GAUGAACGCUAGCUACAGGCUUAACACAUGCAAGUCGAGGGGAAACGAUAUUGGAAGCUUGCUUCCGAUAGGCGUCGACCGGCGCACGGGUGAGUAACGCGUAUCCAACCUGCCCAUCACUUGGGGAUAACCUUGCGAAAGUAAGACUAAUACCCAAUGAUAUCUCCAGAGGACAUCUGAAAGAGAUUAAAGAUUUAUCGGUGAUGGAUGGGGAUGCGUCUGAUUAGCUUGUUGGCGGGGUAACGGCCCACCAAGGCGACGAUCGGUAGGGGUUCUGAGAGGAAGGUCCCCCACAUUGGAACUGAGACACGGUCCAAACUCCUACGGGAAGCAGCAGUGAGGAAUAUUGGUCAAUGGGCGAGAGCCUGAACCAGCCAAGUAGCGUGCAGGAUGACGGCCCUA
rnacentral:rRNA from 1 species